rnacentral:tRNA from 1 species
UCCACAGUAGCUCAGUGCUAUCGGCUGUUAACCGAUCGGUCGUAGGUUCGAGUCCUACCUGUGGAGCCA